GAUGAAGAACGUAGCGAAAUGCGAUAAGUAAUGUGAAUUGCAGAAUUCAGUGAAUCAUCGAAUCUUUGAACGCACAUUGCGCCCCUUGGUAUUCCGAGGGGCAUGCCUGUUCGAGCGUCAUUAUAACCCCUCAAGCUCAGCUUGUGUUGGGGCCUGCUGCACUGGCAGCCCUUAAAAUCAGUGGCGGCGCCAUCUGGCUCUAAGCGUAGUAAUUCUUCUCGCUAUGGAGUCCUGGUGGAUGCUUGCCAUCAACCCCCAAUUUUUCUAUGGUUGACCUCGGAUCAGGUAGGGAUACCCGCUGAACUUAAGCAUAUCAAUAAGCGGAGGA
rnacentral:misc_RNA from 1 species